rnacentral:rRNA from 1 species
AUGCAGAUGGUAUCGGGUGGCCAUACUACUGUAUUGGUGAAUGGGCAUAUUAGUAAAUUUUUUGCCAAUGGCAGAGGCCUUCGUCAAGGGGACCCUGCCUCCCCUGUUCUUUUUAACUUUGUGGUCGAUGCCUUUUCUUGCAUUCUCGCUAGGGCGGCCCAGUGUGGUCAUAUCAUUCCAGUGGUCUCCCAUUUACUCCCGGAGGGGGUCUCUCACUUGCAGUACACCGAUGACACGAUUAUUAUGGUU